AACGAACGCUGGCGGCGUGGAUAAGACAUGCAAGUCGAACGGGACAGGUAGCAAUAUCUGUCUAGUGGCGAACGGGUGCGUAACACGUGGGCAACAUGCCUGGAAGAGCGGGAUAGCCCGGGGAAACUCGGAUUAAUACCGCAUGUGACAACGGGGCGGCUUCGCCCUGUUUUCAAAGGUGGGGACCGCAAGGCCUGCCGCUUCCAGAUGGGCCCGCGUCCUAUCAGCUAGUUGGCGGGGUAAAAGCCCACCAAGGCGACGACGGGUAGCUGGUCUGAGAGGACGACCAGCCACACUGGAACUGAGACACGGUCCAGACACCUACGGGUGGCAGCAGUCGAGAAUCUUUCACAAUGGGGGAAACCCUGAUGGAGCGACGCCGCGUGGAGGAUGAAGGUCUUCGGAUUGUAAACUCCUGUCAUGAAAGAACAAGCGAUGCGGGUGAACAGCCCGCAAAGUUGAUAGUAGGCCAGGAAUAAGUGUCGGCUAACUACGUGCCAGCCGCCGCGGUAAAAC
rnacentral:rRNA from 1 species